rnacentral:rRNA from 1 species
UGAGGAAUAUUGGGCAAUGCCCGAAAGGGUGACCCAGCAACGCCGCGUGGAGGAUGAAGGUCGUAAGAUUGUAAACUCCUGUUAGAGGGGAAGAAUAACUAAGUUUGGAGCUUAGUAUGACUGUACCCUCAGAGAAAGCCCCGGCUAUCUACGUGCCAGCAGCCGCGGUAAUACGUAGGGGGCAAGCGUUGUCCGGAUUUACUGGGUGUAAAGGGCGCGCAGGCGGAAUGGAAAGUCAGUGGUGAAAUCCUACAGCUUAACUGUAGAACUGCCUUUGAUACUUUCAUUCUUGAGUUCGGGAGAGAGAGACGGAAUUCCAGGUGUAGUGGUGAAAUACGUAGAUAUCCGGAAGAACACCAGUUGCGAAGGCGGUCUCUUGGUCCGAUACUGACGCUGAGGCGCGAAAGCGUGGGGAGCAAACA